ensembl:snRNA U2 U2 spliceosomal RNA
AUUGCUUCUUGGCCUCUGGCUAAAGUAUAAUAUCUGUACAUAGCAGUUUUAACAUUUGACACAUCUUCUGUUUCAAGGACAAUAGAUUAAAUGGAUUUUUUGACCAAGAAGAUGGAAUAGGAACUUGCUCUGUCCACUUCAUACAUUGACCUAGUAUUACACAUUACCUCCAGGAGUGGUGCACCAAAC